AUAACCCUUUUAUUAGAAAUAA
rnacentral:tRNA from 2 species